rnacentral:misc_RNA from 1 species
GGCCGUUCCUGUUUCCAUUACCCUUGAGGCCGUGACUGCAAUUUAAAACCAUGCAUAACAUCAUAGUUAAAAUCCAAAAUACAAAAACCAACACCCACAACAACAAUGAAUAUACUAGAGGGAUUAUUGGUUGUUCAUCAAUUAAGUGAAGAUUCAACUGUUUAGAGAGAAAACUAUGGUUUGUUCUUGGAUACACUAAAUGCUUGUCAAUUAGGAUC